UUGAAAAUGAGUUUGUGGCGUGUUUGAACUUGAGUUUCUGCUGUCUUUGAACUUGAGGUUGUGGCAAUUGUUAAACUUGAGGUUUGGGUGUUGGUUGAUCUUGAGUUUUUGUCUUGUUUGAACUUUUGUUUUUGGAUUUUUUGAACUAGAGUUUGUGUGUUUUUUGAACUUAAGUUUUUGGCAACUUAUGAACUUGAGUAUAUUGAAAUUAAGUUUGUGGCAAAUGUUGAACUUGAGUUUGUGGCAUUUGUUGAACUUGAGUUUGUGAUGUGUUUGCACUCCAGGUUGUGGUGUUUUUGAACUUGAGGUUCUGGCAAUUGUUGAACUUGAGUCUGUGGUUUUUAGUGAACUUAAGUUGGUGGCAAUUCUUUAACUUGAUUUUUGAGUUUGUAGCGUGUUUGAAUUUGAGGUUGUUGCAAUUUUUAAAUUUGAGAUUUGGGUGUUGGUUGAACUUAAAAUUUUCACAUUUAUUGAACUGGAGUUUGUGGUUUUUUGUUGAACUUGAGCUUGUGUUUUUUGAACUUGAGUAUGUGGUUUUUGUUGAACUUGAGUUUGUGUCAUGUUUGAACUUGAUUUUGUGUUGUUUUUAACUUGAGUUUGUGGUUUUUUUUAAGUUGAGGGUGUGGAAUUUGUUGAAUUUGAGGUUGUGGCAAUUGUUAAACUUGAUUUUGUGUUUUAGUUGAACUUGAGUUUGUGUCGUGUUUGCACUUGAGUUUGUGGUGUUUUUUAUGAACUUGAGUUUGUGUGUUUGUUAAACUUGAGGGUGUGGCAAUUGUUAAACUUGAGAUCUGGGUGUUGGUUGAACUUAAGUUUUUUUGUGUUUGAACUUGAGUUUGUGGUGUUUGUUGAAUUUGAGUUUGUGUGUGUUUGAACUUGAUUUUGAGGUGUUUUUGAACCUGAGUUUGUGGUUUUUGUUUGAACUUGAUUUUGUGUGUUUGUUAAACUUGAGUUUGUGUGUUUUUUGAACUUGAGUUGGUGGUGUUUUUGAACUUGAGUUUCGUGUUUGAACCAGAGUUUGUGGUUUUUGUUAAACUUGAGUUUGUGUCAUGUUUUAACUUGAGUUUGUGGUCUUCUUGAAAUUGAGUUUGUGUGUUUUUUGAAGUUAAGGAUGUGGAAUUUGUUGUACUCAAGGUUGUGGAAAUUGUUAAACUUGAGUUUGUGUGUUAUUUGAACUCUAGUGUGUGUUGUAUUUGAACUUCAGUUUGUGUGAUUGUUGAACUUGAGUUUGUGUUGUGUUUGAACUUGAGUUUGUGGUCUUUUGAACUUGAGUUUGUGGUGUUUUUAACUUGAGUUUGUGUGUUUUUGAACUUGAAGUUUGUGGCAAUUGUUAAACUUGAGAUUGGGUGUUGGUUGAACUUGAGUUUUGUUGUGUUUGAACUUGA
rnacentral:lncRNA from 1 species